AUUGAACGCUGGCGGCAGGCCUAACACAUGCAAGUCGAACGGAGUGGCGGACGGGUGAGUAAUGCCUAGGAAUCUGCCUGGUGGUGGGGGAUAACUUACGGAAACGGGCGCUAAUACCGCAUACUAUCAGAUGAGCCUAGGUCGGAUUAUCUAGUUGGUGGGGUAACGGCCUACCAAGGCGACGAUCCGUAACUGGUCUGAGAGGAUGAUCAGUCACACUGGAACUGAGAAACGGGCCAGACUCCUACGGGAGGCAGCAGUGGGGAAUAUUGGACAAUGGGCGAAAGCCUGAUCUAGCCAUGCCGCGUGUAUGAAGAAGGUCUUCGGAUUGUAAAGUACUGUAAGUUGGGAGGCGUUACCAACAGAAUAAGCACCGGCUAACUUCGUGCCAGCCGACGCGGUAAUUC
rnacentral:rRNA from 1 species